rnacentral:rRNA from 1 species
UCAGGAUGAACGCUGGCGGCGUGCCUAACACAUGCAAGUCGAACGGAUUUGCUCGCUGCAGAGGCUUCGGUCAAAGCUUGAGUAAAGUUAGUGGCGGACGGGUGAGUAACGCGUGGGCAACCUGCCUCAUACUGGGGGAUAACAGUUGGAAACGACUGUUAAUACCGCAUAAGCGCACAGAGUCGCAUGACUCAGUGUAGAAAAACUCCGGUGGUAUGAGAUCGGGCCCGCGUCAGAUUAGCCAGUUGGCGGGGUAACGGCCCACCAAAGCGACGAUCUGUAGCCGGACUGAGAGGUCGGACGGCCACAUUGGGACUGAGACACGGCCCAAACUCCUACGGGAGGCAGCAGUGGGGGAUAUUGCACAAUGGAGGAAACUCUGAUGCAACGAACCGCCGCGUGAGUGAAGAAGUAUUUCGGUAUGUAAAGCUCUAUCAGCAGGGAAGAAAGGCCCGUAAGGGAGAUGACGGUACCUGACUAAGAACGCCCCGGCUAACUACGUGCCAGCCGCUGC